UGAGUACGAGCUGCUACGGCAGCGAAGUGGGUGACGUCAAGCUUCCAAGAAAAGCCCUAUACCCGUUAAGGCAUGACGGCCUGUACCCGAAACCGACACAGGUGGGGUGGUAGAGAAUACCGAGGGGCGCGAGGUAACUCUCUCUAAGGAACUCGGCAAAAUGGCCCCGUAACUUCGGGAGAAGGGGUGCCACCGCAAGGUGGUCGCAGUGAAGAGGCCCAGGCGACUGUUUACCAAAAACACAGGUCUCCGCUAAGUCGCAAGACGAUGUAUGGGGGCUGACGCCUGCCCAGUGCCGGAAGGUUAAGGAAGCUGGUCAGCGUAAGCGAAGCUGGCGACUGAAGCCCCGGUGAACGGCGGCCGUAACUAUAACGGUCCUAAGGUAGCGAAAUUCCUUGUCGGGUAAGUUCCGACCCGCACGAAAGGCGUAACGAUCUGGGCGCUGUCUCGGAGAGAGGCUCGGCGAAAUAGAAUUGUCUGUGAAGAUGCGGACUACGUGCACCCGGACAGAAAGACCCUAUGAAGCUUUACUGUAGCUUGGUAUUGUGCCCGGGCUCUGAAUGCGCAGGAUAGGUGGGAGGCUUUGAUCCAUUGCUUGUGGGUGAUGGUGAGCCAACGGUGAGAUACCACUCUUUCAGAGCUAGGGUUCUAACGGUCACCCGUCAUCCGGGGACCGGACAGUAUCAGGUGGGCAGUUUGACUGGGGCGGUCGCCUCCUAAAAGGUAACGGAGGCGCGCAAAGGUACCCUCAGGCUGGUUGGAAAUCAGCCGACGAGUGUAAAGGCAGAAGGGAGCUUGACUGUGAGACCUACAAGUCGAACAGGGACGGAAGUCGGCCUUAGUGAUCCGACGGUUCUGAGUGGAAGGGCCGUCGCUCAACGGAUAAAAGUUACUCUAGGAUAACAGGCUGAUCUCCCCCAAGAGUUCACAUCGACGGGGAGGUUUGGCACCUCGAUGUCGGCUCAUCGCAACCUGGGGCUGAAGUCGGUCCCAAGGGUUGGGCUGUUCGCCCAUUAAAGCGGUACGCGAGCUGGGUUCAGAACGUCGUGAGACAGUUCGGUCCAUAUCCGGUGCAUGCGCAGGAAUAUUGAGAGGAUUUCUCCCUAGUACGAGAGGACCGGGAGGAACGCACCUCUGGUGUGCCAGUUAUCAUGCCAACGGUAAACGCUGGGUAGCCAUGUGCGGAGUGGAUAACCGCUGAAAGCAUCUAAGUGGGAAGCCCACCUCAAGAUGAGUAUUCCCAUGGCGUUAGCCAGUAAGGUCACGGGCAGAACACCCGUUGAUAGGCUCUACGUGGAAGCCGGGUAACCGGUGAAGCGGAGGAGUACUAAUAGACCGAGGGCUUGACC
rnacentral:rRNA from 1 species